rnacentral:rRNA from 1 species
GCAUAUCAAUAAGCGGAGGAAAAGAAACUAACAAGGAUUCCCCUAGUAACUGCGAGUGAAGCGGGAAAAGCUCAAAUUUAAAAUCUGGUGGUCUCCGGCCAUCCGAGUUGUAAUCUAGAGAAGUGUUACCCGCGUCGGACCGUGUACAAGUCUCCUGGAAUGGAGCGUCAUAGAGGGUGAGAAUCCCGUCUUUGACACGGACCCCCGAGGCUUUGUGGUGCGCUCUCAAAGAGUCGAGUUGUUUGGGAAUGCAGCUCAAAAUGGGUGGUAAAUUCCAUCUAAAGCUAAAUAUUGGCGAGAGACCGAUAGCGAACAAGUACCGUGAGGGAAAGAUGAAAAGAACUUUGGAAAGAGAGUUAAACAGUACGUGAAAUUGCUGAAAGGGAAACGCUUGAAGUCAGUCGCGUUGGCCGGAAAUCAGCCUUGCUAUAGCUUGGUGUACUUUCUGGUUGACGGGCCAGCAUCAGUUUUGACCGGUGGAUAAAGCUGUGAGGAAUGUGGCAUCUUCGGGUGUGUUAUAGCCUCGCUUCGUAUACAUCGGUUGGGACUGAGGAACUCAGCACGCCGCAAGGCCGGGGUUCGCCCACGAUCGUGCUUAGGAUGCUGGCAUAAUGGCUUUAAUCGACCCGUCUUGAAACACGGACCAAGGAGUCUAACAUGCCUGCGAGUGUUUGGGUGGAAAACCCGGACGCGCAAUGAAAGUGAAAGUCGAGAUCCUUGUCAUGGGGAGCAUCGACGCCCGGACCAGAAGUUUACGGACGGUUCUGCGGUAGAGCAUGUAUGUUGGGACCCGAAAGAUGGUGAACUAUGCCUGAAUAGGGUGAAGCCAGAGGAAACUCUGGUGGAGGCUCGUAGCGAUUCUGACGUGCAAAUCGAUCGUCAAAUUUGGGUAUAGGGGGCGAAAGACUAAUCGAACCAUCUAGUAGCUGGUUCCUGCCGAA